CAGUCGCCGCAGGAAUACGGAGGGUGCAAGCGUUAAUCGGAAUUACUGGGCGUAAAGCGCACGCAGGCGGUCUGUCAAGUCAGAUGUGAAAUCCCCGGGCUUAACCUGGGAACUGCAUUUGAAACUGGCAGGCUAGAGUCUUGUAGAGGGGGGUAGAAUUCCAGGUGUAGCGGUGAAAUGCGUAGAGAUCUGGAGGAAUACCGGUGGCGAAGGCGGCCCCCUGGACAAAGACUGACGCUCAGGUGCGAAAGCGUGGGGAGCAAACAGGAUUAGAUACCCGUGUAGUCCCUGUCUCUUAUAC
rnacentral:rRNA from 1 species